rnacentral:pre_miRNA from 12 species
ACCAUGAUUUUCUUGAGUGCUCUGGCUGCUUGGGUUCCUGGCAUGCUGAUUUGUGACUUAAGAUUAAAAUCACAUUGCCAGGGAUUACCACGCAGCCAUGACGUUGGCUGCUCUUCCAGA